rnacentral:rRNA from 1 species
AGUUCGAUUAUAAGCUCCAGAUUGAACGCUGGCGGGAUGCUUUACACAUGCAGUCGAACGGCAGCACGGACUUCGGUCUGGGCGAGUGGCGAACGGGUGAGUAAUGUAUCGGAACGUGCCUAGUAGCGGGGAUAACUACGCGAAAGCGUAGCUAGCCACCGCAUACGCCCUUCGGGGGAAAGCGGGGGACCUUCGGGCCUCGCACUAUUAGGGGCGGCCGAUAUCGGAUUAGCUAGUUGGUGGGGUAACAGCUCACCAAGGCGACGAUCCGUAGCUGGUUUGAGAGGACGACCAGCCACACUGGGACUGAGACACGGCCCAGACUCCUACAGGAGGCAGCUUGAUGGGGAAUUUUUGGACAAUGGGGGAAACCUGAUCCAGCCAUCCGCGUGCGAUGAAGGCCUUCGGGUUGUAAAAGCACUUUUGGCAGGAAAGAAACGGCACGGGAUAAUACCCGUGCAACUGACAGUACCUGCAGAAUAAGCACCGGCUUGCUCUGUUGGCCGCGGUAAUACGUAGGGUGCAAGAAGCGUUAAUCAAUACUAGGCGUCGGCGUGCGCAGGCGGUUCGGAAGAAGAUCUUGAAAUCCCAGAGCUUAACUUUGGAACUGCAUUUUUAACUACCGAGCUAGAGUGUGUCAGAGGAGGUGGAAUUCCGCGUGUAGCAGUGAAAUGCGUAGAUAUGCGGAGGGCUGAUAAGCGAAGGCAGCCUCCUGGGAUGUUUACUGACGCUCAUGCGAAAGCGUGGGGAGCAAACAGGAUUAGAUACCCUGGUAGUCCACGCCCUAAACGAUGUCAACUAGCUGUUGGGGCCUUCGGGCCUUGGUAAGCUGACAACGUGAAGUUGACCGCCUGGGUACGGUCGCAAGAUUAAAACUCAAAGGAAUUGACGGGGACCCGCACAAGCGGUGGAUGAUGUGGAUUAAUUCGAUGCAACAUGAAAACCUUACCUACCCUUGACAUGUCUGAAUCUGAAAGAGAUUUGGGAGUGCUCGCAAGAAGACAGACCACAGGUGCUGAGCUGUCGAUGCAGCUCGUGUCGUGAGAUGUUGGGUUAAGUCCUGAGCGCAACCCUUGUCAUUAGUUGCUACGAAAGGAGCACUCUAAUGAGACUGCCGGUGACAAACCGGAGGAAGGUGGGGAUGACGUCAAGUCCUCAUGGCCCUUAUGGGUAGGGCUUCACACGUCAUACAAUGGUCAGGACAGAGGGUCGCCAGCCCGCGGGGAGGGGCCAAUCCCAGAAACCCAGUCUGUAGUCCGGAUCAUGAUCACUGCCUCGACUGCGUGAAGUCAGGAAUCGCUAUUAAUCAUGGCGGAUCAGCAUGUCGCGGUGAAUACGUUCCCGGGUCUUGUACACACCGCCCGUCACACCAUGGGAGUGGGUUUUACCAGAGAAGUAGUUAAACUCAAUAACCGUAAGGCGAUUACCACGGUAGGAUUCAUGGCUGGGGUGAAGUGUAACAAAGGUAA